GCAGUGGGGAAUAUUGCACAAUGGGGGAAACCCUGAUGCAGCAACGCCGCGUGAAGGAUGACGGUUUUCGGAUUGUAAACUUCUUUUCUUAGUGACGAAGACAGUGACGGUAGCUAAGGAAUAAGCAUCGGCUAACUACGUGCCAGCAGCCGCGGUAAUACGUAGGAUGCAAGCGUUAUCCGGAUUUACUGGGUGUAAAGGGAGCGCAGGCGGGACUGCAAGUUGGAUGUGAAAUACCGUGGCUUAACCACGGAACUGCAUCCAAAACUGUAGUUCUUGAGUGAAGUAGAGGCAAGCGGAAUUCCGAGUGUAGCGGUGAAAUGCGUAGAUAUUCGGAGGAACACCAGUGGCGAAGGCGGCUUGCUGGGCUUUAACUGACGCUGAGGCUCGAAAGUGUGGGGAGCAAACAGGAUUAGAUACCCUGGUAGUCCACACUGUAAACGAUGAUAGCUAGGUGUGGGGGGUCUGACCCCUUCCGUGCCGGAGUUAACGCAAUAAGCUAUCCACCUGGGGAGUACGACCGCAAGGUUGAAACUCAAAGGAAUUGACGGGGGCCCGCACAAGCAGUGGAGUAUGUGGUUUAAUUCGAAGCAACGCGAAGAACCUUACCAGGUCUUGACAUCCGACUAACGAGAUAGAGAUAUGUCAGGUGCCCUUCGGGGAAAGUCGAGACAGGUGGUGCAUGGUUGUCGUCAGCUCGUGUCGUGAGAUGUUGGGUUAAGU
rnacentral:rRNA from 1 species